rnacentral:rRNA from 1 species
AUUGAACGCUGGCGGCAGGCCUAACACAUGCAAGUCGAACGAGGGGCGGACGGGUGAGUAAUGUCUGGGAAACUGCCUGAUGGAGGGGGAUAACUACUGGAAACGGUAGCUAAUACCGCAUACCAUCGGAUGUGCCCAGAUGGGAUUGGCUAGUAGGUGGGGUAAAGGCUCACCUAGGCGACGAUCCCUAGCUGGUCUGAGAGGAUGACCAGCCACACUGGAACGGAUGCCCGGCCCAGACUCCUUCGGGAGGCAGCAGUGGGGAAUAUUGCACAAUGGGCGCAAGCCUGAUGCAGCCAUGCCGCUUGUGUGAAGAAGGCCUUCGGGUUGUAAAGUACUUUCAGCGGGGAGGCGUUACCCGCAGAAGAAGCACCGGCUAACUCCGUGCCAGCAGCCGCGGUAAUUC